UACGUAGGGGGCAAGCGUUGUCCGGAAUCAUUGGGCGUAAAGCGCGCGUAGGCGGCCCGGGAAGUCCGCUGGAAAAGUCCAGGGCUCAACCCUGGAAAGCCGGUGGAUACUGUCGGGCUAGAGUCCGGAAGAGGCGAGUGGAAUUCCUGGUGUAGCGGUGGAAUGCGCAGAUAUCAGGAGGAACACCGAUGGCGAAGGCAGCUCGCUGGGACGGUACUGACGCUGAGGCGCGAAAGCGUGGGGAGCGAACAGG
rnacentral:rRNA from 1 species